AGCGUACACGGUGGAUGCCCUGGCAGUCAGAGGCGAUGAAGGACGUGCUAAUCUGCGAUAAGCGUCGGUAAGGUGAUAUGAACCGUUAUAACCGGCGAUUUCCGAAUGGGGAAACCCAGUGUGUUUCGACACACUAUCAUUAACUGAAUCCAUAGGUUAAUGAGGCGAACCGGGGGAACUGAAACAUCUAAGUACCCCGAGGAAAAGAAAUCAACCGAGAUUCCCCCAGUAGCGGCGAGCGAACGGGGAGCAGCCCAGAGCCUGAAUCAGUGUGUGUGUUAGUGGAAGCGUCUGGAAAGGCGCGCGAUACAGGGUGACAGCCCCGUACACAAAAAUGCACAUGCUGUGAGCUCGAUGAGUAGGGCGGGACACGUGGUAUCCUGUCUGAAUAUGGGGGGACCAUCCUCCAAGGCUAAAUACUCCUGACUGACCGAUAGUGAACCAGUACCGUGAGGGAAAGGCGAAAAGAACCCCGGCGAGGGGAGUGAAAAAGAACCUGAAACCGUGUACGUACAAGCAGUGGGAGCCUCUUUAUGGGGUGACUGCGUACCUUUUGUAUAAUGGGUCAGCGACUUAUAUUCUGUAGCAAGGUUAACCGAAUAGGGGAGCCGAAGGGAAACCGAGUCUUAACUGGGCGUUAAGUUGCAGGGUAUAGACCCGAAACCCGGUGAUCUAGCCAUGGGCAGGUUGAAGGUUGGGUAACACUAACUGGAGGACCGAACCGACUAAUGUUGAAAAAUUAGCGGAUGACUUGUGGCUGGGGGUGAAAGGCCAAUCAAACCGGGAGAUAGCUGGUUCUCCCCGAAAGCUAUUUAGGUAGCGCCUCGUGAAUUCAUCUCCGGGGGUAGAGCACUGUUUCGGCAAGGGGGUCAUCCCGACUUACCAACCCGAUGCAAACUGCGAAUACCGGAGAAUGUUAUCACGGGAGACACACGGCGGGUGCUAACGUCCGUCGUGAAGAGGGAAACAACCCAGACCGCCAGCUAAGGUCCCAAAGUCAUGGUUAAGUGGGAAACGAUGUGGGAAGGCCCAGACAGCCAGGAUGUUGGCUUAGAAGCAGCCAUCAUUUAAAGAAAGCGUAAUAGCUCACUGGUCGAGUCGGCCUGCGCGGAAGAUGUAACGGGGCUAAACCAUGCACCGAAGCUGCGGCAGCGACGCUUAUGCGUUGUUGGGUAGGGGAGCGUUCUGUAAGCCUGUGAAGGUGUGCUGUGAGGCAUGCUGGAGGUAUCAGAAGUGCGAAUGCUGACAUAAGUAACGAUAAAGCGGGUGAAAAGCCCGCUCGCCGGAAGACCAAGGGUUCCUGUCCAACGUUAAUCGGGGCAGGGUGAGUCGACCCCUAAGGCGAGGCCGAAAGGCGUAGUCGAUGGGAAACAGGUUAAUAUUCCUGUACUUGGUGUUACUGCGAAGGGGGGACGGAGAAGGCUAUGUUGGCCGGGCGACGGUUGUCCCGGUUUAAGCGUGUAGGCUGGUUUUCCAGGCAAAUCCGGAAAAUCAAGGCUGAGGCGUGAUGACGAGGCACUACGGUGCUGAAGCAACAAAUGCCCUGCUUCCAGGAAAAGCCUCUAAGCAUCAGGUAACAUCAAAUCGUACCCCAAACCGACACAGGUGGUCAGGUAGAGAAUACCAAGGCGCUUGAGAGAACUCGGGUGAAGGAACUAGGCAAAAUGGUGCCGUAACUUCGGGAGAAGGCACGCUGAUAUGUAGGUGAAGNUGGAGCUGAAAUCAGUCGAAGAUACCAGCUGGCUGCAACUGUUUAUUAAAAACACAGCACUGUGCAAACACGAAAGUGGACGUAUACGGUGUGACGCCUGCCCGGUGCCGGAAGGUUAAUUGAUGGGGUUAGCGCAAGCGAAGCUCUUGAUCGAAGCCCCGGUAAACGGCGGCCGUAACUAUAACGGUCCUAAGGUAGCGAAAUUCCUUGUCGGGUAAGUUCCGACCUGCACGAAUGGCGUAAUGAUGGCCAGGCUGUCUCCACCCGAGACUCAGUGAAAUUGAACUCGCUGUGAAGAUGCAGUGUACCCGCGGCAAGACGGAAAGACCCCGUGAACCUUUACUAUAGCUUGACACUGAACAUUGAGCCUUGAUGUGUAGGAUAGGUGGGAGGCUUUGAAGUGUGGACGCCAGUCUGCAUGGAGCCGACCUUGAAAUACCACCCUUUAAUGUUUGAUGUUCUAACGUUGACCCGUAAUCCGGGUUGCGGACAGUGUCUGGUGGGUAGUUUGACUGGGGCGGUCUCCUCCUAAAGAGUAACGGAGGAGCACGAAGGUUGGCUAAUCCUGGUCGGACAUCAGGAGGUUAGUGCAAUGGCAUAAGCCAGCUUGACUGCGAGCGUGACGGCGCGAGCAGGUGCGAAAGCAGGUCAUAGUGAUCCGGUGGUUCUGAAUGGAAGGGCCAUCGCUCAACGGAUAAAAGGUACUCCGGGGAUAACAGGCUGAUACCGCCCAAGAGUUCAUAUCGACGGCGGUGUUUGGCACCUCGAUGUCGGCUCAUCACAUCCUGGGGCUGAAGUAGGUCCCAAGGGUAUGGCUGUUCGCCAUUUAAAGUGGUACGCGAGCUGGGUUUAGAACGUCGUGAGACAGUUCGGUCCCUAUCUGCCGUGGGCGCUGGAGAACUGAGGGGGGCUGCUCCUAGUACGAGAGGACCGGAGUGGACGCAUCACUGGUGUUCGGGUUGUCAUGCCAAUGGCACUGCCCGGUAGCUAAAUGCGGAAGAGAUAAGUGCUGAAAGCAUCUAAGCACGAAACUUGCCCCGAGAUGAGUUCUCCCUGACUCCUUGA
rnacentral:rRNA from 1 species